rnacentral:rRNA from 1 species
GAUGAACGCUGGCGGCGUACCUAAUACAUGCAUGUCGAGCGAACCACUUCGGUGGUGAGCGGCGAACGGGUGAGUAACACGUAGGUGAUCUGCCCAUCAGACGGGGACAACGAUUGGAAACGAUCGCUAAUACCGGAUAGGACGAAAGUUUAAAGGUGCUUCUGGCACCGCUGAUGGAUGAGCCUGCGGCGCAUUAGCUAGUUGGUAGGGUAAAGGCCUACCAAGGCGACGAUGCGUAGCCGACCUGAGAGGGUGAACGGCCACACUGGGACUGAGACACGGCCCAGACUCCUACGGGAGGCAGCAGUAGGGAAUCUUCGGCAAUGGGCGAAAGCCUGACCGAGCAACGCCGCGUGAAUGAUGAAGGCCUUCGGGUUGUAAAAUUCUGUUAUAAGGGAAGAACGACUUUAGUAGGAAAUGGCUAGAGUGUGACGGUACCUUAUGAGAAAGCCACGGCUAACUACGUGCCAGCCGCCGCAGUAA